AGACAAUUAGUUUAAUAAAAACAUUUGGUUUCGGCCCAAAAGCUUGUGGUUUGAGUCCAUAAUUACCUA
rnacentral:tRNA from 1 species